rnacentral:rRNA from 1 species
CGUAAGGCGCCGAAUGAGUCAUUAAAAAAUUAACAUCAUCCGAUCCCUAGUCGGCAUAGUUUAUGGUUAAGACUACGACGGUAUCUGAUCGUCUUCGAUCCCCCUAACUUUCGUUCUUGAUUAAUGAAAACAUCCUUGGCAAAUGCUUUCGCAGUAGUUAGUCUUCAAUAAAUCCAAGAAUUUCACCUCUGACAAUUGAAUACUAAUGCCCCCCAACUAUCCCUAUUAAUCAUUACGUCAAUCCCUAGAAACCAACAAAAUAAGAUCGAACGUCCUAUUUCAUUAUUCCAUGCUAAUGUAUUCAAGCGUUAGCCUGCUUUAACACUCUAAUUUUUUCAAAGUAACAGUCCAGUUUCCCCGCAACACCAAAUUAAUGGCAUUACGGUUCAUCAGGAAGGAGGAAUCAGUAAGACCAGUGCAUACCAGAGGCAUGACCAAUCUACUAACCCCGAAAUUCAACUACGAGCUUUUUAACUGCAACAACUUUAAUAUACGCUAUUGGAGCUGGAUUACCGCGGCU